UCUGAGUGCGCAGGCGCAAUAGUGGUCCGGCAACGGAGAGCCGCCUCCUCUGGCCUGCUAAGGAGAAGCUAACGUGGUGGCUGCAGAAGUUCCUCUUCCUCUCUUCCCUCGCCAGCGAUAUCUCGAGGUGGAGAGAGCCGACGUGAGAUAGGAGAGCUGUAAGCCUUGGUGGUAUAGAAGAUGCUGAAUUUAUUAAACAAGAAGAAAACAGGAAAAAAUGACUAUUUUGGAGCAACUCGUUAUAGGUAGGCAGUGCUCAAAUUCUACAGGAAGAACCAGGUUUUCCUCCAUUGAUCAAAAUCCAUUGAUCAAAUACAUAUCGGGUGGAAAGAUAACACAGUCAACCAUUGUCUCACAAGGAUUGUAAUAAGUGUUCUAAGCAACCUUUUUCAUGAUGAAUUAUGAAAAAAUGAGGUCAAUUUUUUUCUA